rnacentral:rRNA from 1 species
GACGAACGCUGGCGGCGUGCCUAAUACAUGCAAGUAGAACGCAGUUGCGAAUGGGUGAGUAACGCGUAGGUAACUGCCUCAUAGCGGGGGAUAAAUAUCGGAAACGAUAGCUCAUACCGCAUACUGUGAGAUGGACCUGCGGUGUAUUUGCUAGUUGGUGAGGUAAAGGUUCACCAAGGCGACGAUACAUAGCCGCCCUGAGAGGGUGAUCGGGCACACUAGGGAUGAGACACGGCCCAAACUAAAACGGGAGGCAGAAGUAGGGAAUCUGCGGCAAUGGACAGAGAUCUGACCGAGCAACGCCGCGUGAGUGAAGAGGGUUUUCGGAUCGUAAAGCUCUGUUGAUAAGGAAGCGGUAACUAACCAGAAAGGGACGGCUAACUACGUGCCGGCAGCCGCGGUAAUAC